CACAUUCCGUGCAACUGGCGAUGUAAUGUGGAAUUAACCACAGGGAAACACGGAAUUUAUUUUACCAGCCGCUCGCCUGGGCCUCGUCU
rnacentral:ncRNA from 2 species